AGAAUCAACGCUGGCGGCGUGCCUAACACAUGCAAGUCGAACGAGAAAGUGGAGCAAUCCAUGAGUACAGUGGCGACCGGGUGAGUAACACGUGACUACCUACCCUUGAGUGGGGGAUAACCUCGGGAAACCGAGGCUAAUACCGCAUAAUAUCGAGAGAUCAAAGGAGCAAUUCGCUUUUGGAGGGGGUCGCGGCUGAUUAGCUAGUUGGCGGGGUAAUGGCCCACCAAGGCGAAGAUCGGUA
rnacentral:rRNA from 1 species